CUUCAUUGCGUUUGAUGGAAUCUGAGAGAGAGUCCAUCCCCGAAGGUUCCUGCGCUAACCAGUUUGUGAUAUUUGAGGAUAUUCUUUGUACUGGGAUGCUUGGGAUGUGAUGGACUAUCAUUUGGAGACUAGGAAACCCAUCACGCAUCUCCGGAAACCCUUGGAAAUUGCC